UACGUAGGGUGCGAGCGUUGUCCGGAAUUAUUGGGCGUAAAGGGCUCGUAGGCGGUUUGUCGCGUCGGGAGUGAAAUCCACUGGCUUAACUGGUGGCUUGCUUUCGAUACGGGCAGACUGGAGGUAUGCAGGGGAGAACGGAAUUCCUGGUGUAGCGGUGAAAUGCGCAGAUAUCAGGAGGAACACCGGUGGCGAAGGCGGCAUCCUGGACCAACACUGACGCUGAGGAGCGAAAGCCAGGGGAGCAAACGGG
rnacentral:rRNA from 1 species